rnacentral:lncRNA from 1 species
CUCGUCAGUUACGAAGCUGGACUGAAACUGCCCUGUCAUUCAAUGCUGGAAGCUUCUGCGCGCGCGCGCGCCCAUGCGCGGUGCGCCAUGCGGCGUGCGGCCUCUUGGCUCACUGCCAUGCGGCGGUGCGGCGGUGCAGCUCAAGUCCGUCCAUGCGGCGUGCGGCGGUGCAGCUCAAGUCCGUCCAUGCGGCGGUGCGGCGUGCGCCACGUCACCUGUGAGUCUAUACGUGCGCGCCACACAGUCGCGCCGUAUUGGCUCACUCUGGUGCGCCGCACACGGCACAGUAGGACCCAUGCACCAUGCUCCCAACCGCGCGCCUCGUGUACCCGCGCGCGCAUGCGCAUGACUGUCACGUCAUGCGCCGCAUCACCUACCACUUGGUCCUUGCAACCCUUGUGCUUCACCACGCGCGCGCGGUCAAAAAUACAAAGGCGGCUCUCAAGCGGCUCGCGGCGAUGCGAGCGUGCGAAGUGCAAAGUGCGCCAUCAAAGCGCCACAUUGCGCCUCAUCGCCCACGCCACGCGCGCGCGCGCGCGCGAGCGAGCGUGUGCGAGUGCGAGUGCGAGUUAGGGUGCUCCGCACCCUUCGCGAGGACACUAG